CCUACGGGGAGCAGCAGUGAGGAAUAUUGGUCAAUGGGCGCGAGCCUGAACCAGCCAAGUCGCGUGAGGGAGGACGGCCCUACGGGUUGUAAACCUCUUUUGCCGGGGAGCAACGGGCGUCACGUGUGGCGCCACUGAGAGUACCCGGAGAAAAAGCAUCGGCUAACUCCGUGCCAGCAGCCGCGGUAAUACGGAGGAUGCGAGCGUUAUCCGGAUUUAUUGGGUUUAAAGGGUGCGUAGGCGGAUCGUUAAGUCAGUGGUCAAAUUGAGGGGCUCAACUUCGGAAUUGCCUCUGAUACUGUUCGGCUAGAGAGUAGUUGCGGUAGGCGGAAUGUAUGGUGUAGCGGUGAAAUGCUUAGAGAUCAUACAGAACACCGAUUGCGAAGGCAGCUUACCAAGCUACUUCUGACGUUGAGGCACGAAAGCGUGGGGAGCAAACAGGAUUAGAUACCCGAGUAGUC
rnacentral:rRNA from 1 species